rnacentral:rRNA from 1 species
CCUACGGGUGGCUGCCGUGGGGAAUAUUGGACAAUGGGGGCAACCCUGAUCCAGCCAUGCCGCGUGUGUGAAGAAGGCCCUCGGGUUGUAAAGCACUUUCAGUGAGGAAGAACGCCUGGUGGUUAAUACCCAUCAGGAAAGACAUCACUCACAGAAGAAGCACCGGCUAACUCCGUGCCAGCAGCCGCGGUAAUACGGAGGGUGCGAGCGUUAAUCGGAAUUACUGGGCGUAAAGCGCGCGUAGGUGGCUUGAUAAGCCGGUUGUGAAAGCCCCGGGCUCAACCUGGGAACGGCAUCCGGAACUGUCAAGCUAGAGUGCAGGAGAGGAAGGUAGAAUUCCCGGUGUAGCGGUGAAAUGCGUAGAGAUCGGGAGGAAUACCAGUGGCGAAGGCGGCCUUCUGGACUGACACUGACACUGAGGUGCGAAAGCGUGGGUAGCAAACAGGAUUAGAUACCCCGGUAGUC